UACGUAGGCAGCAAGCGUUGUUCGGAAUUACUGGGCGUAAAGCGUGCGCAGGCGGUUUUGUAAGCCAGAUGUGAAAGCCCCGGGCUUAACCUGGGAAUGGCAUUUGGGACUGCAAGGCUUGAGUGCGGCAGAGGAGACUGGAAUUCCUGGUGUAGCAGUGAAAUGCGUAGAUAUCAGGAGGAAUACCGAUGGCGAAGGCAGGUCUCUGGGCUGACACUGACGCUCAUGCACGAAAGCGUGGGGAGCAAACAGG
rnacentral:rRNA from 1 species